rnacentral:rRNA from 1 species
GACGAACGCUGGCGGCGUGCUUAACACAUGCAAGUCGAACGGAAAGGCCUCUUUCGGGGGGUACUCGAGUGGCGAACGGGUGAGUAACACGUGAGUAACCUGCCCUUGACUUUGGGAUAACUUCAGUAAACUGGGGCUAAUACCGGCUAGGAGCUCCUGCUGCAUGGUGGGGGUUGGAAAGUUUCGGCGGUUGGGGAUGGACUCGCGGCUUAUCAGCUUGUUGGUGGGGUAGUGGCUUACCAAGGCUUUGACGGGUAGCCGGCCUGAGAGGGUGACCGGCCACAUUGGGACUGAGAUACGGCCCAGACUCCUACGGGAGGCAGCAGUGGGGAAUAUUGCACAAUGGGUGGAAGCCUGAUGCAGCAACGCCGUGUGCGGGAUGACGGCCUUCGGGUUGUAAACCGCUUUCGCUCAUGACGAAGCUUUGUGUGACGGUAGUGGGUAAAGAAGCACCGGCUAACUACGUG